rnacentral:rRNA from 1 species
CCGGACGCGGACUGGACCAGCGGGCCGCCGGGGACCUCAAACUCUUGUAUUAUCAGCAUCUUCUGAAUACGCCGCAAGGCAAAACAAAUGA